GACGUAGGGCGCGAGCGUUGUCCGGAUUUAUUGGGCGUAAAGAGCUCGUAGGCGGCUUGUCGCGUCGUCCGUGAAAACCUGCAGCUCAACUGCAGGCUUGCGGUCGAUACGGGCAGGCUGGAGUUCGGUAGGGGAGACUGGAAUUCCUGGUGUAGCGGUGAAAUGCGCAGAUAUCAGGAGGAACACCGGUGGCGAAGGCGGAUCUCUGGGCCUUACCUGACGCUGAGGCGCGAAAGCUAGGGGAGCGAACAGG
rnacentral:rRNA from 1 species